GGUUCCCUACGUGACGAGACUGAUGCCUGCGGUGUAGCGCUCCACGGAGGAUUACUUAUUCUAUAUUAAAGUAUACCAACUUCCAAGUCAGGUUCCCUACGUGACGAGACUGAUGCCUGCGGUGUAGCGCUCCACGGAGGAUUACUUAUUCUAUAUUAAAGUAUACCAACUUCCAAGUCAGGAGGAAUCAGUGACCAGAUGACCUAAGGGUGACCAAUGGGACCCCACCAGAGUCUUCCCCAUAAAAGCCCUGGGAGGAGCCUCUUCUCUCUCUUAGUUCCUGAGUCUUUGCUGAAAUGCAGUCGAGCCUAAGAGUCUGGAGUCAUAGGAGCCUCAAGUCAAGUCUGCAGCCACAAGCUACAAGUCUACAAGUAAGAUAAAGUCACAGCUUAAAUGGAGAAAGGACGUCCAAGGGAUGAAUGGCUUUGAACAGCGCUGACCACGAACAGAAGCAUGAGCCUGGACCUGCUCUCCAGAUCUUGGGUAUAGCAGCUGUGUAGCGAUGGGUCAUUCGUGAAUGAACAGGUUCUAGUAGACAUCUUUUAUCUGAACAACUAGCGCCUGGUGUUGCCUGUUUUUUUCUACCUAAUCCUUGUGGGGGGAGGAAAAGCAACAUAGGAAGAAGAACUUGUCCUCAUAUCUCGACCACAUCUCCGGUCCUCAGAUCCCAUCCUCAGGUGGGGCUGAGUUGUGAUGAAGAGAUUGUAGGGGGAAAAUAGAAGAAGGCAUGGUUUUGUGGAAGUGGGCAUGACUUGUAAGCCAGACCAAUGCACAAAAAAGGUGUGUGGCUUUGUGAGAUGGGGUGUGGCCGGACUGACACAUUCAACAGGAGAUGCAGAGCAGAGCUUGUGGAGUAAGGUACUGGAAGUCCCAUAUACUUGCCAUGGACUUCUAGUUAGCAUUCAAAAUUUGCUGCAAUUUUAUCGAAUCCAUUUUUCCUUCUACCCGUGAGAUGUUCCCUGUGCCACUGGCUGCAAUACAACCCCAAAGCAUGACUGAUCCACCCCCAUGCUUAACAGUUGGACAGAGGUUCUUUUCAUUAAAUUCUGUUCCCCUUCUUCUCCAAACGUACCUUUGCUCAUUCAAUUUUAACCUCAUCGGUCCACAGAACUUGUUUCCAAAAUGCAUCAGGCUUGUCUAUAUGUUCAUUUGCAAAGUUCAAACGCUGAUUUUUGUGGUGAGGAUGUAGAAGAGGUUUUCUUCUGAUGAAUCUUCCUUGAAGACCAUAUUUGUACAAGUAUUUCUUUUUAGUGGAAGUGUACACACAACUCCGCCUGCCAGAUCUUUCUGGAGGGAUUGUGCAGUCAAACGUGUGUUUUGAGUUGCUUUUCUCCCAAUCCUGCGAGCUGUUCUGUCUGAUAUUUUUCUUGGUCUUCCAGAUCUUGCUUUAACUUCCACUGUUCCUGAUGACUGCCAUUUCUUAAUUACAUUCCGAACAGAGGAUAUUGACAUCUGAAAACGUUUUGCUAUCUUCUUAUAGCCUUCUCCAGCUUUGUGAGCGUCAACCAUUUUCAGAAUUCUAGACAACUGCUUAGAAGAACCCAUGGUGCUGAUUGUUGGGGCAAGGUCAGAUGAGUCUGGGCAUUUAAAACCUUUUAGAUUGACAUCACCUGGUCUUCCCCGAUGAUGAUUGAGAACAAUCCAUGACACUGGCAGGUCUCAGCUAUGCAAAGGGGACAGUGCAUGCUACAAAUUCUGCAGGGUGCCCAAACUUUUGCAGACGCCAUUUUUUUUCCCUAUUAUUUUGAAAGUGUAAAUGGAAAUAAAAUCUAACUUUUGCUGACAUAUAAGAAUGUCUAAUCUGUAAUUUGAUGCCUUUUGGAGAUUUUUCCAUCUUUCCUUGGCUUCUUUAUGCACAUUAAUACAAAUUUUUAUCAAAUGUUUUAUUCCCACUAAAACUAACAUGUGUUCUAAGUUUCAUCAAAAUAUCUUCAGCCAUAUGGAAGUUAUGCUGGAACAUUUCCUACAGACUUGCAUGGGGGACAUGUAUCAAAGAUUUUACCACUGUUUUGUGUUUACAUUCUUGCGCAAAAUUUUGCACAAGCUGUUUUUUUUUUUUGCGUACAUUCUGGUGGAGCAUUCCCUCCAGAUGUGCAGGUUUUCGGUGUACUUUGGAAUGACAUAUUUAGGACGCUCGAAUUUAUUAACUGCGCAGAAAUCUUGCGCAAUGACCAUAUUUUUUACGCAAAUCUAAGCCAUCUUGGACUGCACGUAGCAAGAUGCUCUAAAUCAUCGAUUUCCUUUUUCAAAGAGUGGAGCUAUGAGGAGAUUACUAAAUUUGCCCACAAUUUAUGAAACUCAUUGAGCUUGAUUGAUAAAUUUAGCGCAUCAUUUAGAAUUCAGCAAAAGGGGUUAACUGCUUCUACCAUACACAAAUAAUGAUACAUGUCCCCCAUUGAGGAGAGAGAGAGACAGAGGAGAUGAGAAGUGGAUCCCGGGUAAGAGUCAUCAUACUCUCCAACCACACCCAUUGCUUAGCCAGCCUGUAUAAAUUCCCAGAAAACAAGAAGGUAUAUUCCUUUUCUGACACAUCACCCACCCCAAAACAUCUGCACUCCUCCUGACCCCAUUAUUCUCAAUAAUCUAAAACAGGGUCACAUGCCAGUGCUGACCUCCACCUACCUAGAAAUUAGUGUGGAUUUAAAUAGAACAUAUAGAGGCUCAUAAACCACAGGAGGCACAUACAACUCUCCCCUGGUCAGAUUCAGACCAGAAAAAUAGAGCUUAACCCCUUAAGGACUCAGGGUUUUUCAGUUUUUGCACUUUCGUUUUUUCCUCCUUACCUUUUAAAAUUCAUAACCCUUUCAAUUUUCCACCUAAAAAUCCAUAUUAUGACUUAUUUUUUGCGUCACCAAUUCUACUUUGCAGUGACAUUAGUCAUUUUACCCAAAAAUAAUCAGCGAAACGGAAAAAAAAAAUCAUUGUGUGACAAAAGCGAAGAAAAAACGCCAUUUUGUAACUUUUGGGGGCUUCCGUUUCUACGCAGUGCAUAUUUCGGUAGAAAUGACACCUUAUUAUUCUGUAGGUCCAUACGGUUAAAAUGAUACCCUACUUAUAUAGGUUUGAUUUUGUCGUACUUCUGGAAAAAAAUCAUAACUACAUGCAGGAAAAUUUAUACGUUUAAAAAUGUCAUCUUCUGACCCCUAUAACUUUUUUAUUUUUCCACGUACAGGGCGGUAUGAGGACUCUUUUUGCGCCGUGAUCUGAAGUUUUUAUCGGUACGGUAUUUGUUUUGAUCGGACUUUUUGAUCACUUUUUAUAAAUUUUUUAAUGGUAUAAAAAGUGACCAAAAAGAAGCUUUUUUGGACUUUGGAAUUUUUUUGCGCAUACGCCAUUGACCGUGCGACUUACUUAAUGAUAUAUUUUUAUAGUUCGGACAUUUACGCACACGGCGAUACCACAUAUGU